ACCAGUUCUCAGUAGAGAAUACGCUGUUGAUUAUGUUGGUGACGGCCAUAGCAAGUAGCUUUGAGAGAUAGUGUAUUAAUAUUCAUAGCAAAGGCGGCACUCGUUGUGGCUGUAAUGGCAGAGUGCGAUGGCCUGUCACUCGUGGUUAGCUUUCUGAGGGGUGGAUCAGUGUAGCGUAUAUAAUAUGGUGUGGGGGUGUUUGUGGUGGUGGGAGGGGGGGGGGGGUAGUCUGACAACGCCACAUUUCUAUAGUCAUCACCGAUGUAGACAGUUUCCAUGAACACUACAACAUCGUGUAUUUCAGUGAUUAUACUUGAAUGGAUGGGGAGAAGUAUGUGCUACAAAAUUAGACUUUCAAGAAGAAAUUGUAUUUCAAUUAUCAGAACUGUUGCAAAACUUCAAAACAAGGAAUGUUUCCAGGGCAAGAUGGCCACCAUUCUUGAAAUAAAACGAAUGUGUCCAAUUGACUUGUUUUAGCGAAUGUCUUAAAAAUUGGAUAAACUCUAAAUUUCCAACAUUUUGUUUGUCUAACCAUUCUAUUUAUAUACUGUAUUGCAAAGUUGUUACUGCUUACAAAUUUAGACUCGAAAGAUAUUACGCAAUUACGCAAAGAUAUUACGGUACUUAUUACGCAAAAGUUUAUAAAGUUUUGGAAAAAUGUUUAAAUGUUUUCAUGACUCGGAAACUUUCUAUAUCAUUUAUUUAACGCAGCACUUGGGCGUAAACAGACUUUAUGAAUGCGCAAUGGAACUUCUGCAGUUUUAAAAUAGUAAAUGAGAGCAUAGAAACCACAUAAAUUAAAAAUGGUCAUAUUUAAAAGUUGCAGUGGGUUAAAAAAAACACAACUCUAAAUGCUUUGUUACUUCCUUUACACAUUGGUAAUUUUGUUUAUCAGUAAAAACUUCUUUAUCAAAGAUCAGCACUUUCUUUCUCUACUUUCUUACAUAGAAUGGAUAUGUUAAGCGGUGUUUUAUUAGAAGAGUGGAUUACGCCUAUUUUCCUGACUACCACUUCCGAACCAGGGCAAAGUGCAAAAAAAGAAAUAUUCAAUAACCAAGAAUAAUGGGAUUGUCUUCGAAUUAUCUGCGGUAUAACAGCGUCCGUUACACUUUCUACUGUGGUCAGCUGUUGAGUUCCUCAACGUCCUUCUCCCACCCCCACCCCCCCCCCACCCGGCAGAUAACCUCUGCGAACAUUGGCCAUUGUUCUAUUCUACCAGCAUGUUAGUUACGUGUCUUACAAAACCAGACUGGACCACUUCAUUCAUAAUAACAAUAGUUUAAUUCUUGGGAUAAAAAUUACAAUAUAACUUUUUUUAUUUAUGUGAGUUAUCCACCUGAGGAAGACAUCAGAUUCCAGAUACCGAAACUUAGUGUUACACGUGUCGCUAAACAAUGGCAAAUGGACAAAAAAACCCUGUUGGCUUCAUAGUGCUUUGGGUAAAGCACAUUCCUAGCAUAUAAUUUAAAAGUAUAAUAUUAGGUAUAGUAAGAAGGGACGUAUACCAUAAUAUAAACGACGUUUCGAGGACAAGUAGAAACCCUCUUUUUCAAGUGGAAAUACUAAAAAGUAUGUUUGCGUUAUUGACACCAUCGUCAAUCUUCAUACCUAAACAUGUUGUACCUGAAAAUAUAAAAGUACCUACGAAAUUUACCAUCUCUUUUGGUAUGUUAAUCGUGUUUGAAUUGUUUUUAUGUUUCAUCUUAUUUAUAUAUUUGGAUUUUCGCUUGAAUUCGCGAGCAAUAUCUGUCUUAGAAACGUCACGUUUAUUAAUAAAAAAGAAACUAUGCAGUUCG